CCUACGGGUGGCAGCAGUGGGGAAUAUUGCGCAAUGGGCGAAAGCCUGACGCAGCGACGCCGCGUGAGGGAUGAAGGUCUUCGGAUCGUAAACCUCUGUCAGCAGGGAAGAACGGUCACUGUGCUAAUCAGCAGUGAAUUGACGGUACCUGCAACGGAAGCACCGGCUAACUCCGUGCCAGCAGCCGCGGUAAUACGGAGGGUGCGAGCGUUAAUCGGAAUUACUGGGCGUAAAGCGCUCGUAGGCGGUAUGUCAAGUCAAGGGUGAAAUCCCCGCGCUCAACCCCAUCCAGCCGUUGAAACUGGGGAUCUAGAGUGUGCGAGAGGUAUGCGGAAUGCGUGGUGUAGCGGUGAAAUGCAUAGAUAUCACGCAGAACCCCGAUUGCGAAGGCAGCAUACCGGUGCACAACUGACGCUCAGGCACGAAAGCGUGGGUAUCGAACAGGAUUAGAUACCCCUGUAGUC
rnacentral:rRNA from 1 species